rnacentral:rRNA from 1 species
CACGUAGGGCGCAAGCGUUGUCCGGAAUUAUUGGGCGUAAAGAGCUCGUAGGCGGUCUGUUGCGUCUGCUGUGAAAACCCGGGGCUUAACCCCUGGCUUGCAGUGGAUACGGACAGACUAGAGGUAGGUAGGGGAGAAUGGAAUUCCCGGUGUAGAGGUGAAAUUCGUAGAUAUCGGGAGGAACACCAGUGGCGAAGGCGGCUCUCUGGGCAAUGACUGACGCUGAGACGCGAAAGCGUGGGGAGCGAACAGG